AACCGGUCUCUCCAUUUCAGGGACUGGUCCCAGAACACAUGAAAGUUCAGAAAAAUUAUUUUAAAAUAAUCUAAGCCUUCUGAACUUAUUCUAAUUAGGUAUCUUCACCACAAAUGAUCUUUUCUUCAUACCUUAGGUGUCGAGCUUUCCGAAUGAGUCUUCGUUCUCCAAUUUUAAUAACUUCUGCGAUCAACUCUUCAAGACUCCAAACAACUUUACGAAAUUCGCCAACCUAUAAAAUCCUUAACAAUCGGGUCCUCCUCGCUGA
rnacentral:lncRNA from 1 species